UACGUAGGGUGCAAGCGUUAUCCGGAAUUAUUGGGCGUAAAGAGCUCGUAGGCGGUUUGUCGCGUCUGCUGUGAAAACUCGAGGCUCAACCUCGAGACGCCGGUUGAAACCAUCUGACUAGAGUCCGGAAGAGGAGAGUGGAAUUCCUGGUGUAGCGGUGAAAUGCGCAGAUAUCAGGAAGAACACCCGUGGCUAAGGCGGCUCUCUAGUACGGUACUGACGCUGAGACGCGAAAGCGUGGGGAGCGAACAGG
rnacentral:rRNA from 1 species